rnacentral:rRNA from 1 species
CCUACGGGGGGCAGCAGUGGGGGAUAUUGGACAAUGGGGGGAACCCUGAUCCAGCGACGCCGCGUGAGUGAAGAAGUAUUUCGGUAUGUAAAGCUCUGUCAGCAGGGAAGAAAGCAAUGACGGUACCUGACCAAGAAGCCCCGGCUAACUACGUGCCAGCAGCCGCGGUAAUACGUAGGGGGCAAGCGUUAUCCGGAUUUACUGGGUGUAAAGGGAGCGUAGGUGGCAUGGCAAGCCAGAAGUGAAAACCCGGGGCUUAACCCCGCGGAUUGCUUUUGGAACUGUCAGGCUGGAGUGCAGGAGGGGCAGGCGGAAUUCCUGGUGUAGCGGUGAAAUGCGUAGAUAUCAGGAUGAACACCGGUGGCGAAGGCGGCCUGCUGGACUGUAACUGACACUGAGGCUCGAAAGCGUGGGGAGCAAACAGGAUUAGAUACCCGUGUAGUC